GAAACAAUAAAUUUUGAAAUACAUAUAAUAAUUCACGCGUAUUUCAUAUAUAUUUUUAAUUUUUAUGAUUGUAAUACCAAUUUUUUCUGCCCGGGCCUAUACAAAAUAAAAUACAGCAGGCCCAUCUACAGACCAAACCCAUAUUCAAAAAAAACCUAGCCUAAGAAGCAGCAAGCUUCAGCCGCAUGCCCAACAGCAGCCUCCCUAACUGCCGUCGCAUCCUCCGCGCACGUACACCUCUUCCACGGCCUCCAUACCUACGAGAAAAGCGGAUCCAAACAGCAAUAGACGCAACAAAUAAUGAAAUAGGAUUUUUUACUUUUAUUUUGCUGUAAUUUUGGCUAUAAAAAGCCAUCAAAAAUCUGUAAAAUGGGGGGAACCAAUAUUGUAUUGAGAGAAUACUGAAAUACAAAAAUAGGGAGAAAAUAUUGAGAUUACAAAGAGAUUUUUGAAGGUGAAUCGUGUUUAUUUUUUUCCAUUUUUUCCAUUCUUUUUUAUUUUAUUUUUUAUUUAUUUUUAAUUUAAAAUAUAAAGAAGGGAGGAAGGACUUACCUCUCUCGCCGGAUUCGUAUAUAUAUUUAUAUAUAUAAAAAAUAUUUCUCUAAUACAUAUACAUAUUUUUAUAUAUAUAUUGUUAUUAUUUCUUUUUUAGCUUUUAUAUACAUAUAUACGUAUAUACAUUUAUAUUUCUAUUAUAUUUAUAUAUACAUUCUUUUAAAAUUAUUAUAAACAUUUUAUUGUUCUACACAUUCCAUUAUUUUCAUAUUGCACCUAUAUAUAUAAGUAUCUAAAUAAGUACAUAUUUUCAUGAUUGACCUACUUAUAUACUCAUACAUUUUUAUUUUGUAAAUAUAUGCACGUAUACAUAUGUUUUUUUAUUUUUAUCUUCACAAUUUUCACAUACAUAUGUACAUGCAUAUUAUUAUAAGUUUUGUUUUGUAUAUUUCAUUCCCUUUUAUGUACACUUAUAUUUUUUAAAAUGUAUGCAUAUACAUGUUUUCAAAAUUCAUUUAUGCUUUAUACUUAUAUUUUGAAAACACAUAUAUACAUAUAAUUUAAAUUAAAAUAUUUGUAUCAUAUUGUACAUUACCUUUUUAACGUACCCUUUUUGAAAAUAUGUUUUGGUUUUAACCAUACAUCAAAGUUAUUUUCUCGCUCCAAAGGUUUUUUUUUUUGAAUAAAAGCAAUGUUCGAAGCUUGAGAUUUUCGAGGGAAAUUGAGCCCUAACGUAUUGGGUUCAGAUUUUCUUUGUUAAUCUUAAAUAACCGAGGAUAUUCUUUAUUCAAAAUGCAUGAGCAUAAAAAUCAUUUUUGGGAACUUAACUUGUCGUGCCCUAACGUAUUGGGUGUGGCAUGUUACUUUCUCGAAAUAAAUAUUUUCGCAUGAAAUAAAAGUGAUAUUCAAAGUUCGGGGAUUAUGAGGAAUUGUACCCUAACGUAUUGGGACUCGAUUUCUUUACAUGACUUGAACAAUUUGUUAUCCUUUUACAAAUUUCAUCAUUCAAGCUUAUUUUAAAAUCUUUUUAACUUUCGACACUAAGACAUUAAAUGAUCAAUUUGGUACCGAUUUUGGGCGUCACGAGGGUGCUAACCCUUCCUCGUGCGUAACCGACUCCCGAACUCGUUUUCUCAAAAUUCGUAGACCAAAAUAAUUUUUAAGGUGACCCGAUCACACCUUAAUAAAAGAUCGGUGGCGACUCCAGUUUUGUUUUAAAAGUCGACAACUAAAAUUUUUGUUUUUCAAAAAACGGUUUCGACAGCUUGGCGACUCCACUGGGGACACUAAAGAGUCGAGCCAUAAAUUGGUUAUUUGUUCGUCUUGUGAUCGAAAAUCAAAUUUGGGUUUUAAAAUCAUGAUUUCCCUUCAUUUUUUUUACCAUGGAAUGUUGGUAACCUUGCAUUUGCAUUUUGCAUUUUACCCUUAAGUGGGAGCGAGAAACUAGUCCUUCGUGAGGUUUUCACCUCCGUGCAGGGUAAUGGACCGCUUCCGGGAUACAUCCGUACCUAUGUCUUCGUGAGAUUUUCAUCUCCGUGUAGCCAUAGGGAAAUGUGUCCCCCUGAACCGAACUCGAUCCACAUGAGCCUAUAAUGGGUGAGGAUCGAGGAAUCUGCUGGUCGGGUACCUUUACUCUAGAAACUAAACCUCAUAUAGUGAGCUUUAGGAACUUACCUUAGGUAGAAGUACUCUAAACCUUAGGAGAUACCUGACUAGGAGUUUUUAUUAUUUCUUGCUUAUAUUGGAUUUAAUGUUUAUACCCGAUACUAACUCGUUGCAUUUUGUUUUGAUUGCAUGACAUCAUGAUCGCAUUGCAUUUUCAUCAUAAAAGAGGUGUUGAUUCACGUUCGGUUGUUAAUAGAGAGCUUGUCAUAAGGAAAUGGGUUUCUUGAUAAAAUAGAAAAUAAUACGGUUGCCCGAAUAUGUUCCGAGAAAACACAACAAGAGAAAGAUGAUAGUUUAAUGGAGGACUACAUAACCAUUGCUUCGUUGCCCGAAGACUCAAGCUGAUGAAGGCUAUUCGAGAGCCGCUGAACUUUUUGUUUAAGGGAAGCCAACGAGCAUCACGACGAUAAAGGAGCAACGAAGAACAGUCCGGAUCAAGUAAAAUGGAGAUAGAAGAGACAUCUAUUUUGAAGAAUUCACAAGAUUUAUCUUAGCAUCCAGAUGAAGAAGGAGAAGAUGUCCUCGCUUGGAGCAUGAGGGCAAAGCCGUAUAUAUAUAUCUGCUUUAUGUAAAGAAAUUUAUCUUCUAGAAAAGUUUUCUAAAUAGAAUUGAAUCAGAAUCAACGUCUCUUUUUGCAUUCAUCAAAUGCAUUUGCAUUACAUAGCAUCAUAUGCAUUAAAAUCCAUUGAAAGAGCCUAAUUAAUUAAAAUUAUUGCUUAGUUAACCUGGAAACCAACCAACCAACCCGACACCGAUACGGCACUCGAGCAAAGACAAAAGAUAUGGAUCAGAGAUUAGAGAAGCUCGAACAGUACCAGAAGGAGAUGCAAGACCGGCUUCAGCUACAAAUGCAGGAACGGUUAGACAAGAUGAAACAGGAGAUGUCUGAGAAGAUGCGGAAUCUCAAGAGGACAUAGUGGCAAAGUUAACCCGAUUGAUAACUAAAGGAGGUGAUAAAGGAAAGGGCCCCAUGGCAGAUGUCGAUGAGGGAAAUGAUGAUGAACUUUUCUAUCCUCCAGGUUUCAUCCCUCCACAUGAGCGAACUCAAGCUGAAUACCCGUGCAAAUCUACUGUCACCAUCAUGCCUCAGCAAUUUCGAGCUGGUAUUUCGAACCACCAAACUGGGCCGAGCUUUAAUCCUGAAAAUAAUCCUAUUAACUCUGCCAUUCCUGACUUUGAUGAAGUGGUUGAGAAGGAAAGAAUGAAGGAAAAGUUACCGAAACAGUUGGAAGAAAGAUACAGGUGGCUCGAAGAGAAGUUCAAGGCGAUGGAAGUCACUGAAAGUUAUCGAGGCAUUGACGCAAAAAAGCUGAGUUUAGUGCCAAAUUUAGUACUCUCUCAUAAAUUUAAGAUGCCUGAAUUUGAAAAGUACAAUGGGACAAGCUGCCCAGCAGCUCACAUCACCAUGUUCUACAGGCAAAUGGCUGGAUACGUUAACAAUGACCAACUAUUGAUACACUGUUUCUAAGAUAGCCUAGCAGGGGCAGCAUCUAAGUGGUACAAUCAGUUGAGUCGUGCCACGGUUGGUUCAUGGAGGGACUUGGCGCAAGCAUUCAUGAAACAAUAUAGUCAUGUGACAGAUAUGGCUCCUGAUAGAAUCACCCUUCAGAAUAUGGAGAAGAAGCCGAGCGAAAGCUUUAGGCAGUAUGCACAGAGAUGGAGGAAGGUCGCAGUCCAAGUUCAGCCACCACUCUUGGAAACGGAAAUGGCCAUGCUAUUCAUUAACACCCUAAAAGCACCUUUCAUCACACAUAUGUUAGGAAGUGCCACAAAAAGCUUUCCUGACAUAGUCAUGAAUGGUGAAAUGAUUGAGAGCGCUAUAAGGAGCGGGAAAAUUGAGACAGAUGAGAGUAAUAAGAGGUCAAUCUCAAGAAGAAGAGAAAAUGAGGUGGACAACACGGGUUACUCUAAAUCAGUUACUGUGAGUCAAACAAGAAAGGUGGUUGGUAAUCAACAGAAUUCAUCGAGGCAAGAUUCCGGCAUAAAGACUGAGAGGCCCCAAUUCACGCCAAUUCUGGUACCGUAUAAGGAACUGUAUCAAAAUUUGUUUGAUGCACAUGUUGUUUCCCCUUUUCAUGUGAAGCCUCUACAACCGCCGUAUCCUGAAUGGUAUGAUACGAACACACAAUGUGAAUAUCAUGCGGGAAUUACGGGACACUCGAUUGAGAAUUGCACUGCCUUCAAGAAGCAAGUUGAAAGACUUAUCAACAUGGGUAUUGUCAAGUUUGGUGACUCGUCCAGCGCAGGAAAUCCGCUACCCAAUCAUGAUUGAGGAUGGAGGGACUGCAAUAUAUGAAGAAGUGGUGAGAAAUUUGCACAUCGAUGCGGACACAAUUAAAAGGGUCCUUGUUAGAUAUUCGCCUUAGAGGUGUUCUAAAUAAUGGGACUGCAAAGGAAACCCCUAAAAUAUUUAGAGUCUGUUAGAGUAAUGUUAAGAACACACUUGUUGCUUUCAGCCUAGAAGCAAUAGGAGUUUCUUUGUGAAAUAGGCUCACGUCUGAACAUUAUUAUUUUAAUGAAAUACAUUAUUGCAAUCAUCUUUGAGCAAAUGUUCUUUCAUUCUUUACGAUUUCUUUAUUUUUUUUCCUUUCAGAUUUUUUCUGCCAAAUUAUUCGUUCAUUCGUUCAUAUUAUUCAUACAUUCUUUUGUAUAUUCUUUGGUACCCACUAUGGGUCCCCAAAUAUCAAUGACAUGAGUGACGCUGCUACAGACUCAAAUCGCCUUUUGAGUGAGACAUGUGUUUAGAGGGAUCUCAUGGCUUUGAAGAUGUCAUAAAUUGCAGCUUAUCUCCUAACUUGUUGAGGAUGGUAAAGCAAUAAGAGAAACAAAUGAGACAGCAGAGACUACGACCUUGAGAAAACAUGCAUGACCGAAGAAUAAAGCAAGACGUUGCUGAGUUACUUCAAGCAUCCAAAGAUGCCUUCGCAGGGUCAUACCAGAAUGUGCCCGGUUUAAGCGAGGUCAUUACAAUCUGAACAACAGCACGAUAUCAAAAGUUUGCAACAUGUUCAAGGUGAAUAUCAUGAAUGGUGCAAUGAAAACUCUACCGGGGCAAUGCCACUCUUUCCAGUUUAUCACGUUUUUUCAUUGAAGUUGAAAUUCUUUCUAUUCGAGUUUUGGCUGAGCUAAGGUAGGAUGAAGAUCCAAUCCCGAUACGAUUAGUUGAACUUAGUUGAAGAAAAAGGCUAGAAACUAUUCAUCAGGCUCAGAUGCACCAAGAAAUGAAUGAUGCGAGCCUAUAGCAAAAGGUUUGUCCCAGAGAAUUCCACGAUGGCAACCUAAUGCUAAAGAAGAUCCUCACUCUACAAAAAAAUAUAACGGAUGCCAAAUUGGGAAAAAAAUUAUGUUAUAGAGAAGGUCUUUUCCAAAGGAGUUUUGAUUUUGGGCGAGAUGGAUGAUAAACCUGCAAAGUCCUGUAAACUCAGGUUCAGUCAGGAAAUACUCCGCUUAAAGAAUGAGAUGACCAAGGUGAAAACCCACAAAGGGUGCUUUGAGUCCAAAAAAAUAAAAAUAAAAAAAGAGAAAAAGAGGAAAAUGGAGAGGCUAAGGUGAAAACCCGUAAAGGGCGCCUUAGACCAAAGGGGAUUUGAGUUGAAAACCCGAAAAGGGCGGCUCAAAUAUUGAUUAGAAUGGGGCACGAGAUUAUCGGAGUAGCUCAAAUACUGAUCAGAAUGGGGCAUGCAAUGGUCUUGCUAUACCUAAAUCAACAAGAAAUGGUAGGCGACAUCUUGGGGCAUCGACAAAGUAUUCCUAAACGCAUGUCAAACUCAGAAUGAUCUUCAGAAAGUCUGUACAGCAAAGUUCAAGCUGCGAUAUUUGGGGCACCUAAUUCUUAUAUUAUUUUUUGUUAUUCUUGGAACACUUCAUUCAUUUCCAAAAUACGCAUUCCUAAAUCAAUUUCUUUAUUAUCCAUCUUUAUUAUAUUUGACAAUUUAUUCAUUUCGAGCUUUGCUCAGAACCAACUCUAUUCUUAUCCAUGGUCUUUUUGCAAGCAUGUUUCAUUAGAAUAAUGAUUCAUAGACUAAUAAAACUUUCACAAGGGAAGUUUUGCAUAUUACUCUAGAAGUUUCUAAAUAAUAUAGGAUCCUCAAACAGGACUAUUGUUUAGAAUGCACUAGGUUGGAAAUCUGAUAAGGAAAAGUCUAAAUUAAGACUAUCCCUUUGAAUUUUCUUGUCUAAAGUAUUAAUUGAACAAAAUGGCAAGAUGUCGUGUUGGUGACAAAGCUUCAAUGAACAAGCAAGCAAUGAUCACCGGAUAAUAAUAAGAAGUUGUUCUUGGAGAAGAUUACUUUAUUUGUGCAUGAGCAUUUGGUACAACACCCUGGGAAUGGUGUAAGAGACCAAAGAGUUUCACAUCCUUGAAUUGUGAUAGUGGAGGAUUAAGAAAAGGCCAAAACUUUUUACUCUCGGGUUACAACGGGAGGAAGAUGGUACAAAUUUUCGCAUACCAUUGAAUCAAACUUGGAGGUUUACAGUGGGGGCAACCUGGUCAAGUGUUUCUUUGGAGACGCCAGCCGAGCAAAAGGUGCUAUAGCACAUUAGCGAUGAAACUUUAAAUAAACUUUGAGUAAUGAUAACCUAAGUGAAAAUGAGGGAUCAUUCUCGAAAAAAUGACAUUCUGCAUUCAUUCAAAUGUCAUUCAUACACGCCUAGUUAGGAGCAUUUGAUUCAUUUGAUCAUGACAUCCUAAUCAUUAGGCAUAGUUAGGUUCAUAAAGUGAAUUAUACAGGUCAUGUUCCCUAGAGAACAGAUCGGUGAAAUCAUAAAGCCUUAUCUCCCUGAACAAUAGUGGAGCAGGUUGAAAAGCAGCAGGUCUUGUCUUCCUAUAUUGGUAGCGAAGUGGAUCGAAUAUACAGAUCUCGCCUUCCCAUACUGGUGGCGAAGCAGAUCGAAGGAAAAAACAGAUCUUGUCUUAUGGCGUGAAGUAGAUCAAAGAUAACAGAUCUCGCCUUCCCAUACUGGUGGCGAAGCAGAUCGAAGGAAUACAGAUCUUGUCUUCAUGUACUAGCGUGAAGUAGAUCGAAUAUACAGAGCUCGCCUUCUCAUACUGGUGGCGAAGCAGAUCGAAAGAAAGUAGAUAUUGUCUUCAUGUAUCAGCGUGAAGUAGAUCAAAGUCAACAGAUCUUGUCUCCCCAUACUGGUGGUGGAGUAGAUCAAAGAAAGUAGAUCUUGUCUUCAUGUAUCGGCAUGAAGUAGAUCAAAGUCAACAGAUCUUGUCUCCCUAUACUGGUGGUGGAGUAGAUCAAAGAAAGCAGAUCUUGUCUUCAUGUACUGCAUGAAGUAGAUCAAAGAAACAAAUAUUGUCUCCCCAUACUGGUGGUGGAGUAGGUCGAAGAAAACAGAUCGUGUCUUCAUGUACUGGCGUGAAGUAGAUCAAAGAUAGUAGGUCCCGUCUUCCUAUAUUGGUAGCGAAGUGGAUCGAAUAUACAUCUUCCCAUACCGGUGGCAAAGUAGAUUGAAGAUUACAGAUUUUGCCUCCCUAAGCAGUAGUGGAGCAGAUCGAAGAUGGCGGAUUUUACCUCCCUGAAGUUGCAGUGGAGUAUAUUGAAGCCAGUAAUUCUACCUCCCCGGUCGGCAGUGGAAUCGAUUGAAAAAGCAGAUCUUGUCUUCAUGUAUUGGCGUGAAGUAGAUCGAAGAAAGUAGAUCGAAGAAAGCAUAUCUUGUCUUCCCAUACUGGUGGUGAAGUAGAUCGAAGAUACAAGUCUUAUCUCCCUGAAGUUGCAGUGGAGCAGACUGAAGUAACCAAUCCUAUCUCAUUGAAGUUGCAAUGGAGUUGAUUAAAACCGCAGAUCUCAUCUCUCUGAAGUUGCAGUGGAGCAGAUCGCGCCAGAUUUAUCUUUAAGUUGCAGCAGACCAAAUUGAAACUAUAAGUCUUGUCUCCCUGAAGUUGUAGUGGAGCAGAUUAAAGAUAGCAAAUUUAGUUCUUUUGAGAAGCUACAAUGUAUGAAUCCUAUCUCUUCGACAUUACAGUAGGAGUGGAUUGAAGCACCAGUUCCUAUACCUCUGGAGAUGUAGUGGGAAGGAACGAGGCUACUAACGCUAAGGUCCAUAUGGCCGGGCAAAAAUUGGUCUUUUUAAGUCAUUGCUCUAUUCUCGUCACACGAUAACGAGCAAAGAGGGGCAGCUGUAAUACCAAUUUUUUCUGCCCGGGCCUAUACAAAAUAAAAUACAGCAGGCCCAUCUACAGACCAAACCCAUAUUCAAAAAAAACCUAGCCUAAGAAGCAGCAAGCUUCAGCCGCAUGCCCAACAGCAGCCUCCCUAACUGCCGUCGCAUCCUCCGCGCACGUACACCUCUUCCACGGCCUCCAUACCUACGAGAAAAGCGGAUCCAAACAGCAAUAGACGCAACAAAUAAUGAAAUAGGAUUUUUUACUUUUAUUUUGCUGUAAUUUUGGCUAUAAAAAGCCAUCAAAAAUCUGUAAAAUGGGGGGAACCAAUAUUGUAUUGAGAGAAUACUGAAAUACAAAAAUAGGGAGAAAAUAUUGAGAUUACAAAGAGAUUUUUGAAGGUGAAUCGUGUUUAUUUUUUUCCAUUUUUUCCAUUCUUUUUUAUUUUAUUUUUUAUUUAUUUUUAAUUUAAAAUAUAAAGAAGGGAGGAAGGACUUACCUCUCUCGCCGGAUUCGUCGAGUCGGCGCUAUCUCCGUCACAGUCGGAGCCUUGGCGCGAGGCUGAGCGACGGCGUUCGAGGGUUGAGGAAACCCUAAAAGGGUCUGGUUUCUCCUCUGGAAAGGGAAACCCAAAAGAACAAAUAAAUG
rnacentral:lncRNA from 1 species